rnacentral:rRNA from 1 species
AGUGAACGCUGACGGUAGGCCUAACACAUGCAAGUCGAACGGCAGCACAGUAAGAGCUUGCUCUUACGGGUGGCGAGUGGCGGACGGGUGAGGAAUACAUCGGAAUCUACUUUUUCGUGGGGGAUAACGUAGGGAAACUUACGCUAAUACCGCAUACGACCUACGGGUGAAAGCAGGGGAUCUUCGGACCUUGCGCGAUUGAAUGAGCCGAUGUCGGAUUAGCUAGUUGGCGGGGUAAAGGCCCACCAAGGCGACGAUCCGUAGCUGGUCUGAGAGGAUGAUCAGUCACACUGGAACUGAGACACGGUCCAGACUCCUACGGGAGGCAGCAGUGGGGAAUAUUGGACAAUGGGCGCAAGCCUGAUCCAGCCAUACCGCGUGGGUGAAGAAGGCCUUCGGGUUGUAAAGCCCUUUUGUUGGGAAAGAAAAGCAGCAGGUUAAUACCCCGCUGUUCUGACGGUACCCAAAGAAUAAGCACCGGCUAACUUCGUG